rnacentral:tRNA from 1 species
GAGGGUACAGCUCAGUGGUAGAGCAUGUGCUUAACAUGCACGAGGUCCUGGGUUCAACCCUCAGUGCUCCG